UAGAGUUUGAUCCUGGCUCAGGAUGAACGCCGGCGGUGUGCCUAAUACAUGCAAGUCGUACGCACUGGCCCAACUGAUUGAUGGUGCUUGCACCUGAUUGACGAUGGAUCACCAGUGAGUGGCGGACGGGUGAGUAACACGUAGGUAACCUGCCCCGGAGCGGGGGAUAACAUUUGGAAACAGAUGCUAAUACCGCAUAACAACAAAAGCCACAUGGCUUUUGUUUGAAAGAUGGCUUUGGCUAUCACUCUGGGAUGGACCUGCGGUGCAUUAGCUAGUUGGUAAGGUAACGGCUUACCAAGGCGAUGAUGCAUAGCCGAGUUGAGAGACUGAUCGGCCACAAUGGAACUGAGACACGGUCCAUACUCCUACGGGAGGCAGCAGUAGGGAAUCUUCCACAAUGGGCGCAAGCCUGAUGGAGCAACACCGCGUGAGUGAAGAAGGGUUUCGGCUCGUAAAGCUCUGUUGUUGGAGAAGAACGUGCGUGAGAGUAACUGUUCACGCAGUGACGUAUCCACCAGAAUGACCG
rnacentral:rRNA from 2 species